CGGAGAUUCCCACUGUAUGGCUUCCUGCAGGAUUCAGCUGUGGAGACUGAAGCCGGAGGGCCUGGGGGGAGCCGCAGGAAGCGGGUGGGCGGGGGCCGUCUGCCCCUGGACACUCAGGACAGCCUGGCUCACCACGGGGGAGGAGAAGCCAAUGGAGACAGCGGGGACCAAGAGGGAGGGGGUGGAUGGGGAGCCUGGGGAGGAGCGGAGGGACCCAGGUCCCCUGCCUUACAGGACGACCAGCACAGGUUCCAGGUCUCCAGCCAGCUACAGGGCUUCUUAACACACAGCACUCCCUGCUUCGAGCCUUCCGGGAGGCCCCCAAUCCAGGAUCAAGACCCAGCCCCGUCACGGCCUGGCUCACGAGGCCCCACUUCAACUGCCCCUGACCUCUCUGCGCCCCCUGCUCCCGCCAGCCCUGCCGGCCGCUGCCCUGGAGAAGGAGCUGCAGAUGGAUCCCCACUCCUGGCCUUUGACCUUCACCAAUACUGUCCAGCUUGGCACUUGAGUGGGUUGCCACCAUUGUGAAUUGGGCCUUGCCUGCAUUCUCAGUAGGCUGGGUUCCAGACAUUUGAGGUCUCAGCCAUAGACUCUGCUGGGAACGUGGAGGCCGGGGAGAUUCUGUCCCACCUGGUCCCUCUGAAUGAGCCAGGCACCCCUUGGAGGAAGUGACAGGCCAGCCCCAGGCAUGCACUCCACUGGUAUGUUUAGCCCCAAAUCCUCCUCUUGCCCCAUUUACCACCUUUCUCUGGGUGCCACCCUUGGGCCAUCCUCAUCCCUGACUGAUGACUAUUCAAGACCACUUUCUCUGCCUCUAGUGGAGCGUGUCAGAACCCAGCCUGUGACCCCACCCCAUCAUCUUAGAAGCAAACUCUUUCUAGCACCUGUACCAGGUGCUGGAGCAAGCCCUGAGUUUAGUUCAUGUAAUCCUGACAACCACCCCAUAGGUCAGAUGGGGAAACCAAGGCAGGAAGCAGGCACAUACCCUGUGAGUGGCUGGACCCAGGCACUAACCCCCAGCCCCACACUCCUAGCACCCUGCUGUCUCUUGGUGACAUGUGAGUAUGUCAAUCUGAACAUGCUUGAAAUGAAUAUUUGUCAAUAAUUUUA
rnacentral:lncRNA from 1 species